rnacentral:lncRNA from 1 species
UAAAAUAAAACAAAACAAAAUCUAAAUUAAAACUAAAACUAUAAAAUUUAAACCAAAUAAAUUAAAAUCAAAACUAUACAAUAAAAUCAAAUAUUUUUUAGAUUCAAAUAAAACUAAAACUCUAAAUUAAUAAAAUAAAACUAUAAAUCAAAACCAAUUCAUAAAAUAAAAUUAUAAAUUAAUAAAAAAAUAUAAAUCAAAACAAAAACUAAAUUCAUAAAAUAAAAUUAUAUUAAUUAAAACUAAAACUAUAAACUAAUAAAAUAAAACAAAACUAUUAACUAGGACAAAGUAACCUUAGC